ACUGUGUUUUUGAAGAAGGAGCAACAUUCUGACAUGACUAAAAGCUCACAAGAGUCCAUUCUGUGUAAUAUAGGUGUUGCUCAAAUUGCAAAAACAAAUUUGACAACAAUAACAUGACUUUUUUUACGUUUCUCUGUCCAGCAUUUAAAUCUUACAAAGGUCACUUGAUCGUGGCCGAUGUGAGACCUGCAUGUUUUAAUCAGGUUGAGGAAACAUGACUUUAUUCUAAUCUGUGGUGAGGCUCCUCCCUCUGGAAUUCUCCUCCUCAAAACCUUUGGAGGGAAAAUUCUAAUGGAACAGGACACAGGACAGAUACAAGAGCAGAGGACACACAGUGUGGAGCAGGAGGAUUAUGAGAGCUGAUCUGGAGAGUCGUCUACAAACACAGAGUGACGUCCAGAGCUCUGCUGGAGCUGUGGGGAAGUUCAUGAAUGUUAUAGUUGAUGUUUCAGGAAAAAGGAAGAUGUUUGAGAACCAACAAAACACAGAUGAACAAAGGUGAUGUGGCAUUAGGAGGACUUUAUACCAGAUGCCCUACCUGUUACUGCAUUUAGAGGAAGAAAAGCAGCACACAAGACCAGAGCUUCUUCACUGGAAUAAAUCUUCACACUGUCCAGCUCCAAACUGUGUGUCUCUGUACUUGUGCUCUCUGUGUGUUUGAUUCUGUUUAAGACAAUACAG